rnacentral:lncRNA from 1 species
UUUUUUUUUUUUUUUUUUUUUUUUUUUGUCUUUUUGUCUUUUGUCCUUUGUCUUUUGUUGUUGCUGUUGUUGCUAUUUCUUGGGCAGCUCCCGAGGCAUAUGGAGGUUCCCAGGCUAGGGGUGGAAUUGGAGCUACAGCUGCCAGCUUACACCACAACCCCAGUAACACAGGAGCCAAGCCAUGUCUUUGACCUAUACACAGCUCACGGCAACGCCAGAUCCUUAACCCACUGAGCGAGGCCAGGGAUACGUCCUCAUGGAUACUAGUCAGUCUUGUUACCUCUGAACCACAAUGGGAACCUCAUAGGAAACUAUUUUUACAAAAAAUGUCAAACAAAUGUCCAGCAUCAUUAGUAAUGAAAAGUGCAAAUUUAAACACACUCUUAGCCUAUCAUAUUUGUGAUUAUAGAAAAAAAUGAGACAUGAAUAAAGGAAUUAGAGUGAGCAUAAUUUUCGAUACUGGGUGGUGAUAGUAAUUGAUUUAAGGUUUGAAAUACUGGUAGAAGGAGAAGCCCUGGAAAUAAAUGUGCUCACUCACAAAGAGUGUAGGUAAAGACCCAAUAAUCCUAUCGGCUCAGAGGAUAAUUAAUAUGAGAUCCAUAGGACAAAAAUGUAUUCAAGGAAAGUUUAGUAUCAUUGUGCGUAGAAGGUUUUUCCGAGGAGAAGUUAAAGAAUUUAGAGCAGAGCUCUAAAGUCCACAGAAGGGGCAGAGACAUUUUGGUGAGUAUUUCUAAGCAUAGGUGUUCAAAGACAGAAAAAAAAGUGCCCACUGAACUGAAAAUCAGCCUGAGAUGGAAAAAAAAGGCAGGUGGCUUCAUACAACCAAUGGAUCAGUUUAUUAGAGGAUGUUACUUACAGGUGGGAUUCGGUUGACAGGGAACAGAAUAGCUGUAUUCCACACCCCUAAACGGCCAUUGGGACCAUUUUAUUUUAUUUUUGUCUUUUGUCUUUUUAGGGCUGCACUCGUGGCAUAUGGAAGUCCCCAGGCUAGGGGUCAAAUUGGAGCUACAGCUGUCAGCCUACCCCAUAGCCACAGCAACACCAGAUCGGAGCUGCAUCUGCAACCUAUACCACGGCUCACGUCAACGCCGGAUCCUUAACCCACUGAGUGAGGCCAGGGAAUCGAACUCGUCACCUCAUGGUUCUUAGCCAGAUUCAUUUCCACUGCACCUCGAUGGGAACUCCACUGGAACUUUUUAUAAUUAACCUAGAUUAUGGGGGGGGGUAUACGCUUGGAAAUAGGAAGUGCACUCUUAAGAUUUAUGAAUGGGUAACCAGUUUCGUGGGCAUUGGAAUGUGUCAGAGAAGGUUUUCAUGAUUGUUUGGGAACCAAGAGAGCAUAGCGGCUACCUGGUCCUAAUGAUUAUUAAACAAUAUCUAUUAAUUACAAAGCCCUUGAUGACAGAGGAGUGAUUCACUAUAUAGUGCAGUCCUGGGGAGGGUCAGUGAAAGGACAGGAGAAACUGUGAGGGUCCAAGAUGGCCUCAGUUAUGCUAACAGCCAUACAGUAGGGUAAGGAAAUGUGGAUGUUUAGACUAGUGGGGAGAAGCUUGGAAGGCAUCAUAACAGUAAUGGGGUUAAUUGUGAGUUAAAGUAUGCAAUGACCAAUUACCUUCCAUAUCUAUCAAUGAGUGACAGAAAAAGAUGGGGGGGGGAACUAGCUCUGGCUUCGGGGAUUAAAAUGUAACCUAGGCCAAAAGGGGAAAUAAAAGUAAACCUCAACUAACCUUCCCAAAUUGCAAAUGCCGUGAGGGAGAACUGUAGUGGAUAUUGUACUUACUGGAGAAAGUCCAUGCCAUUGACCAGGAGAGAACUCUAUACCACUUGGAAAGCAGUUUCUGGGGUCCCGUUGGGCCCUGAUAGAGAAGGCGCAUCUGACCAGGAGACAGCAGUUGUCCGCACAACCAGGACCAUCCCUCACGAACUAUUUUUCCAAACUGUAAGGUUGGAUGGACCCAGCUGCAGUUUAUCAUAAGAUGAAAGUGGUACACUGGGGUAGGGCCAGACGGUGCAAUGGCUCAGAUCCCAUUCCUCUGGUGCCUCUCAGCACCAGCGGUGCAUGGGGUCGCUUACGGCAUCUGAGGAAGGGAAAAAAAGAUUGUGCUUGGCUCAUAUGUGUCCGCUGAAUAUGCCAGUGGAUUUAAUAACUUAACAAGCCAAAGGACCAUGGCUACACCUGAACGCCACUCAGCUGUGUUGUUGAAAGAGAGCAGUGUGGAAGCCCUCCCAAUGGGACAAUCUCUUAGAAGUAAAGCUGGUUAUAUAUGUUUCCCAAGGUAUGACUGUUGCUUCUGUUGAAAACCCCACCUAGAAAAAAAGAAAAAAAAAAGUCCCACCCAUCAGCAGCAGAGACCACCACUGAGCCUCUGAUAUGGCCCUAGGAAAACCAACCAGCCACUUGGCUACUUUGUGUCCCUUGCCCACUAAAAUCUUGAUCAAAGUCAAUACAUAUUCUUUUUUUUUUUUUUUUUUCCUUAGGGCUGCACCCGUGGCAUAUGGAGAAUCCCAGGCUAGGGCUAGAAUUGGAGCUACAGCUGCCAGCCUACACCACAGCUACAGCCACACAAGAUCCGAGCCGCAUCUGCAACCUACACCCCAGCUCACGGCAACACCAGAUCCUUAACCCACUGAGUGAGGCCAGGGAUCGAACCCGAAACCUCACGGUUCCUAGUCAGAUUCGUUUCUGCUGCACCAUGAUGGGAACUCCCCAUAUUCUUAAUACAGGUUUGUUUUUCUUGAUGCGAGGCCUCAGCCAGCACCACCAUCUGAUACCUUAUAGGGUGUUUUGUAGAAGCAAAGGAUCAAAGCUGAGUCCUACUUUAAAGCAAAACGGGUAUGGGAGUUGGUACAUGGUCAUGGGAUCCAUUAGUUCUAUCACACAUUUCAUCACCUAGAAGCCACUAACAUGGUAGAGCAGUAGAAUGGUCUUUAUAAGACCAGCCAAGAUCUCACUUUAGAGUUAAUACCCUUUAAGGAUGGGAUAUCAUUAUCCAGGGCAUUCUAAACCAGGGACCAUUGUAGAGCGCUGUUCCCUGUCCCCAGAAGGUAGAAUACAUGAGUCUAGGAAACUAAAGGAUGGAACUCGAGUGGCCCCUCUUAAUCACUCCCAGAGACCCUCGUGGGGAAUCUGUGCUUCCCAUACCUGUAGCUUUACUCUUCAGGUCUAGAAGGGGCCGCUUCCAUCAGGGGACACAGUAAGAAUCGCAUCAAACUUUAAGCUACGGCUGUGGCUGGCGCACUUCCAGUCCCACGUGCGAAGAGAACAGCAGGCAAAAAAGGAAACGCAGGGUAACUAGGGCUGCUCUAACUCAACGGGACAGGGAAGAACAUGUUUGAUCUUCAGGAGAUCCACGAGGGCCUCUUAGUGUUCC